rnacentral:rRNA from 2 species
UUUAUGGAGAGUUUGAUCCUGGCUCAGGAUGAACGCUGGCGGCGUGCCUAAUACAUGCAAGUCGAGCGAACGGACGAGAAGCUUGCUUCUCUGAUGUUAGCGGCGGACGGGUGAGUAACACGUGGAUAACCUACCUAUAAGACUGGGAUAACUUCGGGAAACCGGAGCUAAUACCGGAUAAUAUUUUGAACCGCAUGGUUCAAAAGUGAAAGACGGUCUUGCUGUCACUUAUAGAUGGAUCCGCGCUGCAUUAGCUAGUUGGUAAGGUAACGGCUUACCAAGGCAACGAUGCAUAGCCGACCUGAGAGGGUGAUCGGCCACACUGGAACUGAGACACGGUCCAGACUCCUACGGGAGGCAGCAGUAGGGAAUCUUCCGCAAUGGGCGAAAGCCUGACGGAGCAACGCCGCGUGAGUGAUGAAGGUCUUCGGAUCGUAAAACUCUGUUAUUAGGGAAGAACAUAUGUGUAAGUAACUGUGCACAUCUUGACGGUACCUAAUCAGAAAGCCACGGCUAACUACGUGCCAGCAGCCGCGGUAAUACGUAGGUGGCAAGCGUUAUCCGGAAUUAUUGGGCGUAAAGCGCGCGUAGGCGGUUUUUUAAGUCUGAUGUGAAAGCCCACGGCUCAACCGUGGAGGGUCAUUGGAAACUGGAAAACUUGAGUGCAGAAGAGGAAAGUGGAAUUCCAUGUGUAGCGGUGAAAUGCGCAGAGAUAUGGAGGAACACCAGUGGCGAAGGCGACUUUCUGGUCUGUAACUGACGCUGAUGUGCGAAAGCGUGGGGAUCAAACAGGAUUAGAUACCCUGGUAGUCCACGCCGUAAACGAUGAGUGCUAAGUGUUAGGGGGUUUCCGCCCCUUAGUGCUGCAGCUAACGCAUUAAGCACUCCGCCUGGGGAGUACGACCGCAAGGUUGAAACUCAAAGGAAUUGACGGGGACCCGCACAAGCGGUGGAGCAUGUGGUUUAAUUCGAAGCAACGCGAAGAACCUUACCAAAUCUUGACAUCCUUUGACAACUCUAGAGAUAGAGCCUUCCCCUUCGGGGGACAAAGUGACAGGUGGUGCAUGGUUGUCGUCAGCUCGUGUCGUGAGAUGUUGGGUUAAGUCCCGCAACGAGCGCAACCCUUAAGCUUAGUUGCCAUCAUUAAGUUGGGCACUCUAAGUUGACUGCCGGUGACAAACCGGAGGAAGGUGGGGAUGACGUCAAAUCAUCAUGCCCCUUAUGAUUUGGGCUACACACGUGCUACAAUGGACAAUACAAAGGGCAGCGAAACCGCGAGGUCAAGCAAAUCCCAUAAAGUUGUUCUCAGUUCGGAUUGUAGUCUGCAACUCGACUACAUGAAGCUGGAAUCGCUAGUAAUCGUAGAUCAGCAUGCUACGGUGAAUACGUUCCCGGGUCUUGUACACACCGCCCGUCACACCACGAGAGUUUGUAACACCCGAAGCCGGUGGAGUAACCUUUUAGGAGCUAGCCGUCGAAGGUGGGACAAAUGAUUGGGGUGAAGUCGUAACAAGGUAGCCGUAUCGGAAGGUGCGGCUGGAUCACC